UUCAAGUUUCUAAGAGCAGACGGUGGAUGCCUUGGCAUCUGGAGCCGAAGAAGGACGUAGUAAUCUGCGAUAAGCCUCGGGGAGCUGAUAAACGAGCUGUGAUCCGAGG
rnacentral:rRNA from 1 species